ensembl:lncRNA
UGCGGAUGUCUGAUGCGGCGGAGGAGCAACGCUAGACCCGGUUUAAUCUUUGGUCUCGUCGACGACUGCGCUAGCAGUUGAGGACACCUCUGAAAAGUCAACUUCUCCUGCCAUUAACAUACAAAAAGAGAGACCCAGAGAGGAGUGAAGAAGAAAUUGCUAGGGGCCAAACGCGAGGCCUAUGAAGAUGGAUCAAAAGUGUGUCAAACCACAUGUUGUAGUGCUGCAGCUCCUCAAUAGGAGAUGUUAAGAUGGUUUCCCAACAAGCAACUUCAAACACACGUUGAAGACAUCCUUCUUGACUCAG